UCGAUGUCACUUUGAACCAGACUGAACAUAAUGUUCUGUCACAUCUAUGUUUUAUUGAUUGUCCAGUUGUAUCAUGAGUUAAGCAGGUUCAUCAGACACCCCUCUGUGGAGAAUAGCAGUCAUUAUGAACAUGCUGACUGGCCAUGCCAUUCAAGAAACGCUUAAUGGAUCUCCAUAAUCUUCCUCUUCUUGUCCUGGGUAAAGUCUCCUCUUCACACUGCCUGGAUGUUUCUGGUUUCGGUUCUUCAUUAUCAUCAUCAUCAUCACUCGCGCUUUCUUCCAGAACUCCUGCGGCCACCAGUCUCUCCAGAAUGUCUUCGUCAACCGGAAAGCUGUCCCUCAUGCUGUCUUCAGUCAAACUGCUGGUGUGCCGGCAAAAAGCGCAAACGAUCCGGGAUCCGGAGUGAGGAUCACAUCGACCAGCCUGAUCAGCAGCCAGAGUCAGCAAGCAGCUCUCACAGAAGCUGUGUUUACAGUGUAACUGUCGCGGACACCGACGAGACACAUCAUAGAUCCUGUAACAGAUCCCACACUCCAGCUCAGACAGCAUGCUGAUCUAGUAUAGACUGCUGUGGAACUCUUGACAAAACAGGAGAGAGAGACUGGGGCGAUCUGAGGACUCGGUGGAGUUUAGUUAGGUUUAUAAGGUGGUUCAAAACAAUUCCAUGAUGCGUAAGAGGGUGGAGAAUGAAGAAUCCAGUUUUUCAAUAAGGAAGUUCUCAUGAGGAAUAUGACCAAACAUGCCCAACACGUUGAGAUCCAGGUUUGAAUCCCAUCUGUCGCAGAUAUCGGCCAGCGGACAUCUACACAAACUUGUUUGGCUAUGUGUUGAGGAGGGUUCCUGCCUAGCGCCUAGUGUUUCCAGGUGAACCGGGUGCAUCACAACUCUGUUGUGUUUAAUUUUUUUUUUUUAAAUCACAAAUGCCAGGUUACAGAUGACAGUAUAUAUACAUUCUAAGUCACAAAAAUGUUUUUAUUAUCAAGCUGCAAAUAAAAAUUUUUA